GGGAGGGUUACUUGCAUUGGGGCAUUCAUUUUCAAAGCCUUUAGUUUUGAGCUCUGGAGCAGUACUUUCUAGGAAAUGGGUCUUAAGCAUUUAGCAUGAGCAAACCUAUGAGUUACUUUUUCAACUACAAGGAUCCUUCAUCACAGAUUCCAAGUUAUCAUUACAAAGGCUCUCAAUCUUUCACAGAUUCUAAGGAUGAAGAUGGUGAACGAGGAGGGUGAUGGCGAUGUGUUAACAGAAAGGCUCGCUCAAUUUGCUGCUAUGUUCUUUGUUGCUGUAAUUUUCAAUUUGUUAACAUUUUUUUUUUGUUUGUUACUUAUAAAAGGGAAGUGGAAUGUUGUUCUGGUGAAGUUGUUGUCGGGUUAGUAAUGGCAGUGGUAAGGUGGUGGCAGCGUUAGAAAGUGAGGUGGUUGGCAAUCGGAUGUUGGGUGUAGGGAGAUGGACUAGCGCAAUUGAUGCGCUAAACAUGCAUUACCAAUAUGAUUUUUUCUUUGCAUGCUGUAAUUUAUCUUUUUUUUUGGUUUUUAUAAUAAUAUAACACAAUUACUUGUAUUAGGAUGA
rnacentral:lncRNA from 1 species